rnacentral:rRNA from 1 species
AUGAACGCUAGCUACAGGCUUAACACAUGCAAGUCGAGGGGCAGCAUGGUCUUAGCUUGCUAAGGCUGAUGGCGACCGGCGCACGGGUGAGUAACACGUAUCCAACCUGCCGUCUACUCUUGGCCAGCCUUCUGAAAGGAAGAUUAAUCCAGGAUGGGAUCAUGAGUUCACAUGUCCGCAUGAUUAAAGGUAUUUUCCGGUAGACGAUGGGGAUGCGUUCCAUUAGAUAGUAGGCGGGGUAACGGCCCACCUAGUCAACGAUGGAUAGGGGUUCUGAGAGGAAGGUCCCCCACAUUGGAACUGAGACACGGUCCAAACUCCUACGGGAGGCAGCAGUGAGGAAUAUUGGUCAAUGGGCGAUGGCCUGAACCAGCCAAGUAGCGUGAAGGAUGACUGCCCUAUGGGUUGUAAACUUCUUUUAUAAAGGAAUAAAGUCGGGUAUGCAUACCCGUUUGCAUGUACUUUAUGAAUAAGGAUCGGCUAACUCCGUGCCAGCAGCCGCGGUAAUACGGAGGAUCCGAGCGUUAUCCGGAUUUAUUGGGUUUAAAGGGAGCGUAGAUGGAUGUUUAAGUCAGUUGUGAAAGUUUGCGGCUCAACCGUAAAAUUGCAGUUGAUACUGGAUGUCUUGAGUGCAGUUGAGGCAGGCGGAAUUCGUGGUGUAGCGGUGAAAUGCUUAGAUAUCACGAAGAACUCCGAUUGCGAAGGCAGCCUGCUAAGCUGCAACUGACAUUGAGGCUCGAAAGUGUGGGUAUCAAACAGGAUUAGAUACCCUGGUAGUCCACACGGUAAACGAUGAAUACUCGCUGUUUGCGAUAUACGGCAAGCGGCCAAGCGAAAGCGUUAAGUAUUCCACCUGGGGAGUACGCCGGCAACGGUGAAACUCAAAGGAAUUGACGGGGGCCCGCACAAGCGGUGGAGUAUGUGGUUUAAUUCGAAGCAACGCGAAGAACCUUACCAGGCCUUGACAUCCCUUGCAGAGGUAUAGAGAUAUAUCCGAGGUUAUCAAGGAGACAGGUGGUGCAUGGUUGUCGUCAGCUCGUGUCGUGAGAUGUUGGGUUAAGUCCCGCAACGAGCGCAACCCUUGUUGUCAGUUACUAACAGGUGAUGCUGAGGACUCUGACAAGACUGCCAUCGUAAGAUGUGAGGAAGGUGGGGAUGACGUCAAAUCAGCACGGCCCUUACGUCCGGGGCUACACACGUGUUACAAUGGGGGGUACAGAGGGCCGCUACCACGCGAGUGGAUGCCAAUCCCUAAAACCCCUCUCAGUUCGGACUGGAGUCUGCAACCCGACUCCACGAAGCUGGAUUCGCUAGUAAUCGCGCAUCAGCCACGGCGCGGUGAAUACGUUCCCGGGCCUUGUACACACCGCCCGUCAAGCCAUGGGAGCCGGGGGUACCUGAAGUGCGUAACCGCGAGGAUCGCCCUAGGGUAAAACUGGUGACUGGGGCU